UAUGACCACAUCACAUUGAGACACCGGUUCCCGUUCGGUCACCAAAGUUAAGCAACGUUAGGCCUGGUCAGUGCUUAGAUGGGUGAGCGCUUGGAAAUGCAAGGUGCUGUAGG